GAGAAAGAGCAAGAAAACAGUAAGUACUGCUAACACUUAUUACCAUGGUUAAACUCCACGGCUUUCUUA
rnacentral:tRNA from 1 species